rfam:Hordeum vulgare subsp. vulgare, WGS project CAJW01000000 data, contig: morex_contig_140488
AUCAUACUCCCUCCGUCCAAAAAUUCUUGUCUUAGAUUUGUCUAGAUAUGAAUGUAUCUAGUCACAUUUUAGUAUUUUUAUACAUCCAUUUGUAAACAAACCUAAGACAAAUAUUUUGGGACAGAGGGAGUAUAUC